rnacentral:lncRNA from 1 species
UUUUUCUUUGGUGGUGGACCUGGAAUUCCAGGUGACAGUUUUGGAUCUGCUUCAGGCCCCAAUGCUGACAGGAGAAAUAGUCGUUCUAGGGGUAUGAUGGAUCUGAACUUUCCCCCCUCUGACUGUUAAUUGCUUGCUGAGAUGUUGUAUGAUUGGAGCAUGUGUCGUUCUAGGGGUAUGGUGGAUCUGAACUUUCUCCCACUGACUGUUAAUUGCUUGCUGAGUUGUUGUAUGAUUGGAGCAUGUGUCUUUCAUCUGAUAAUGUGUCAGAAACCUGCUUUUGCUUUCUUAUUGUACAGUUCUCAAAGAAACUUUGG